UAGGGAAUCUUCGGCAAUGGGGGGAACCCUGACCGAGCAACGCCGCGUGAGUGAAGAAGGUUUUCGGAUCGUAAAGCUCUGUUGUUAAGGAAGAACGAGUGUGAGAAUGGAAAGUUCAUACUGUGACGGUACUUAACCAGAAAGGGACGGCUAACUACGUGCCAGCAGCCGCGGUAAUACGUAGGUCCCGAGCGUUGUCCGGAUUUAUUGGGCGUAAAGCGAGCGCAGGCGGUUAAAUAAGUCUGAAGUUAAAGGCAGUGGCUCAACCAUUGUAGGCUUUGGAAACUGUUUAACUUGAGUGCAGAAGGGGAGAGUGGAAUUCCAUGUGUAGCGGUGAAAUGCGUAGAUAUAUGGAGGAACACCGGUGGCGAAAGCGGCUCUCUGGUCUGUAGCUGACGCUGAGGCUCGAAAGCGUGGGGAGCGAACAGG
rnacentral:rRNA from 1 species